CAGUAGCUCAACGGCAGAGCACUAGGCUCAUAACCGAUGGGGUACCGGUUCGAAUCCGGUCUCGGGACACCA
rnacentral:tRNA from 1 species